rnacentral:rRNA from 1 species
CUAGAGCUAAUACAUGCACUGCUUCGGCGGUAUUUAUUAGAUGUAGCCAGCACGCCUCGGCGUUCAAAACUGAAUCACAAUAACUAAGCGGAUCGCGCAAGCGACACGCCGUUCAAGUUUCUGCCCUAUCAGCUGUCGAUGGUAGGGUAUUGGCCUACCAUGGCGUUCACGGGUAACGGGGAAUUAGGGUUCGAUUCCGGAGAGGGGGCCUGAGAGAUGGCCACCACAUCCAAGGAAGGCAGCAGGCGCGUAAAUUACCCAAUCCCAACACGGGGAGGUAGUGACAAGAAAUACCAGUCCGAGGCCUUUGGUCUCGCCAUUGGAAUGAGUACAAUUUAAAACACUUAACAAGGAUCAACUGGAGGGCAAGUCUGGUGCCAGCAGCCGCGGUAAUUCCAGCUCCAGUAGCGUAUAUUAAAUUUGUUGCAGUUAAAAAGCUCGUAGUUGUAUUUUAGACAAACCGGCGCCCGCAAAGCGGUGCACCGGUGUCUGCCUCGCGGAAUGCACCUGGGUCAUUGACUUGACCCUUGUGUAGAACGCGUCCUUUACUGUGAACAAAUUAGGGUGUUCAAAGCAAGCAAUCGCUUGAAUACAUCAGCAUGGAAUAAUGAGAUUAGACUCUGGUCUGUCUCGUUGGUGACUCGCCAGAGUAAUGAUUAAAAGGAACAGUUGUGGAUAUUCGUAUGGGCAUGUCAGAGGUGAAAUUCUUGGAUUUUGAUCAGACGAACUACUGCGAAAGCAUUUAUCAGGGAUGUUUUCAUUAAUCAAGAACGAAAGUUAGGGGAUCGAAGAUCAUUAGAUACCAUCGUAGUCUUAACCAUAAACUACGCCGAUCAGGGGUUGGCGGCCGUCCACUUGACGCCGCCAGCACCUUGCGAGAAAUCUGAAUCUUUGGGUUCUGGGGGUAGUAUUUUCGCAAGAAUGAAACUUGAAGGAAUUGCCGGAGGUCACCACCAGGAGUGGAGCCUGUGGCUUAAUUUGACCCAACACGGGAAAACUUACCAGGUCCGGACAUAGCAAGGAUUGACAGAUUGAGAGCUCUUUCUUGAUUCUAUGGGUGGAGGUGCAUGGAUUCCGCCGGGUAGUUGGUGGAGUGAUUUGUCUGGUUAAUUCCGUUAACGAACGAGACCUCGGCUUGCUAACUAGUCAGCGGUUGCGUGCCAACCGGUGGACUUCUUAGAGGGACUUCUCGGGUUUACCGAGAGGAGGCGCGAGGCAAUGGCAGGUCUGUGAUGCCCUUAGAUGUCCUGGGCCGCACAUGCGCUACAAUGACGAAGCCAACGAGUGUCUCUGCAGAGAUGCACGGAAAAUCUUCCAAACUUCGUCAUGAUGGGGCUAGACCCUUGGAAUUAUUGGUCUCCAACGAGGAAUUCCUAGUAAACGCAAGUCAUCAACUUGCAUUGAUUACGUCCCUGUCCUCUGCACACACCGCCCGUCGCACCUACUAAUUGAAUGGUCCGGUGAAAACCUCGGAUUCCGCCUGAGCCUUCGGGCAGACGGUGGGAGAAGCAGUUUGAACCUUACUAUUUAGAGGAAGGUGAAGUCGUAACAAGGUA